rnacentral:lncRNA from 9 species
UACCAAACGUAUCUACAUCACAGUAGAUACACGCAUUUCUACUGGUAUGUAAUACCAUUGACUUCAAAAAAUUGUCAGACCUAGGGUAUCAAGGAGUAUUUAUAUCCUUCUGUCUGCAGCGCUGUCACUGCGAGGUUUCCGUAGUGUAGUGGUUAUCACGUUCGCCUAACACGCGAAAGGUCCCCGGUUCGAAACCGGGCGGAAACAACCGUCGUCUCUGCUUUUUAUUUCGAGUCAUUUUCGAUUUCAGCACAUCUGUAGCCAGCCAGACUUCAGAACACAGCUGGACAUGUGACCUUUGGAAGUCCAAGAUGAAAAGCUGUCCCGAAGCCACAGCCACCUGCGCUUAACUCGCAGUUUCGCCCCUUCCCAGCCCGCUCGCGUCGCGGGCGCCUCUGCUGCGCUCGGCGUCUUCCCGCUAGAAGGGAAGGGCCCGACUGGUGUCAACCGGGGGAGACAUCACUGCACAGGACCCCGCCUGCGCGGCGCAGGCGACACUGGCUCCCUCGGACGUGUGGGUUUUCUGCAAAGUGACCUUCUCCUGAACUUCAGAGGAAGAAAAGUGCUUCCACUUCGUAACAGCAGCGACCACACAGUAAGAAUCUAGCUAUUAUUAUGACUAUUAGUACCGUACAGUAGUUCCAAAGUCAUCAGGCGUGGAUGGAGAAGAAGCGUUGUGGGAAGGGCGGGGAGUGGAGGGAUAAAUAAGAGGAGAUUCCUGCUCUCAAGAACUCCCCGAAUAUCUGUCCUGAAGAAAGGAGACUCUUACGUGCAUGUUCGGACCGGCUCUCUUCCCUCGGUUCCCACCACCGCCAGGAAGAUCCUCUGGGACAGUUUCUCCGAGAGGCUUGAUCUUAGGUUACUCAGUUCCAGUGGGUGUCCCCCAAAGGGGGAAAUUCAAGACCCCAGGCCCAGGGCGAACUCGAGGCCCUCGCUUGUCUCCGGGAGCUUCCUCUUCAACGGUAUCAAGGCGAAGUUCCUCUAAAACAGCAUCUGGCAUCCAGCUCCGCCCCAAGUCGGCGCCCAGCAGCCAGAGACCGUCGAGGAUGAAAGGUCACUUCAGAUGGGCUGCACCCCUUGACUAAAGGCCACACCUGUUCAAGGCGACCCUCUCUACAAGGCUGUCUUCUGGGUUCAAGUAAUUAUACUCUCCCUGUGCCUCCUUAGGAAUUAAUUUAAUAAUGCCCCUACUGGAGUUCCCGUCAUGGCCCAGUGGUUGGCGAAUCCAACUAGGAACCAUGAGAUUGCGGGUUUGAUCCCUCACCUUGCUCAGUGGGUUAAGGAUCCAGCAUUGCCGUGAGCUGUGGUGUAGGCUGCAGACGUGGCUUGGAUCCCGCGUUGCUGUCGCUCUGGCAUAGGCCGGCGACUACAGCUCCAGUUCAACCCCCAGCCUGGGAACCUGCAUAUGCUGCUGGAGCGGCCCAAGAAAUGGCAAAAAGACAAAAGUAAUAAUAAUAAUAAUGCCCCUACUGUUACUUUUCUUGGAGAAGUACAUUUUCCUCCAAUUGUACACAUCUUUACAAAUAGAACUUACAUUAAUGGUAAAAACGAGUGCUUUCUGAAUGUCUUACUAUAAAUUUCUCUAGCAUGCAUAUACUUUAAAAGGCUCAGUAUUACUUAUUGAGUAAUACAUGAGGCGUAUUGUGAAAAACAUGUCUUCUGUCUCCUAAUUCCUCAAAUUAUCUUAACUAGAUGCC